rnacentral:ncRNA from 1 species
UUUGAUUCUGGUUUAAGGUCUUUGUUGUAUUGUUAAUUUAUCACAUGAAAAUUGUUUAUAAUAAGAGAGAGCAGAAUUAAUUUUAUAUUAAUUUUUAUAAAAAUAUAAUUAAUAUAAUAAUAAUUAUUUAUAAUCUCAGUGUAAGAAUUUAGUAAAUAUAUGAGAGUAUGAAUUAGUGAGUAAUAAAAGUGUAUAAACCUGAUAAAAUAUUUGUGCCAGCAUUCGCGGUUAGACUUUGAGGUUAAAUAAAGAAAAUUAAAUAUAAAAGUUACUUAUAUAAAUAAAUAUAGAUAUUAUUUCCUAAUAUUAGCAGGUGAAAUUGUUGUUAUUUUGUAAAAUUUGGAAUAUUUUUAAGGAAGCUAAUAAGCUUUAAGGAUAAACUAGGAUUAGAUACCCUAUUAUAUUAAGGUUGAAUAAUUAAAAUAUUGAAUUAUUAGUAGGUUAUAAUUUAAAAUUUAAAGAAUUUGGCGGUAGUUUAGUCUUGUCAGAGGAACCUGUUUGAAUUGAUCGAUAUACCUCGUAAUAUCUUACUUAUUUUCAGUUUGUAUACCAUCAUUAUUAGAUAAUUUUUAAAAAAUAAAUUAUUAAAAUUAAGUAGUUAAAAAAAUUAGAUCAAGGUGCAGCUUAUAAAUAAGUUUAAAUGGGUUACAAUAAAUUUUAUUUAGAUGGAAAAGAUCAGUAAGUUGGAUUUAGGAAGGAGGAUUUGAUAGUAAUAUAAGUAUAAUAAGCUUAUAAGAUAAGAGCUCUAAAUUAUGUACAUAUUGCCCGUCGCUUUCAUUAAUUAAUGAGAUAAGUCGUAACAUAGUAGAUGUACUGGAAAGUGUAUCUAGAAUUAU